rnacentral:sRNA from 1 species
AUGCUUGCCUUCUGCAGAGGAGAUGUUGUUCAUUUUCUAUUGGUAAAGAGAGAUGAAUCUGGAGCAAUACAUGUUACUAAGCAAAAGCAUCUUCACCUAUACUAUGACCUCAUCAACUUUACUUGGAUAAAUUCACGCACAGUUGUGCUCUUAGACAGCGUAGAGAAGUUGCACGUGAUUGAUCGGCAAACACAAGAGGAACUGGAGACAGUGGAGAUCUCAGAAGUUCAGCUGGUCUACAAUAGCAGCCAUUUCAAAUCACUAGCCACUGGAGGAAAUGUUAGCCAGGCACUGGCUUUGGUUGGAGAGAAGGCUUGUUAUCAAUCCAUCAGUAGCUAUGGUGGUCAGAUCUUUUAUUUGGGGACAAAAUCUGUUUAUGUGAUGAUGCUGAGGAGCUGGAGAGAGGUGAGUUCCAAGUAAUUUCACAUGUCAGAGUUACUGAAUUGGUAGCUUCUUAACAUUUCUGUUUUGACUUUUCAGAAGAAGAUGAUUUGGUAAGCUUCUUAAUUUCAGAAGUGUACAAGAAAACCAUGAUAGCUGUUAGGUACUUGAUUUGCUAGAACUGACAGUAUAAGUUAGAAUUAGGUUUGUCUACAUAUAUUAGAAAAUUCAAAAUAAUAGUGGCUUAAAUAAGAUUUCUCUGUCAUGUAAAAGCA